CAAGAGCGUAUGUAAAAGUUGUUGCAGUUAAAAAGCUCGUAGUUGAACCUUGGGUUUGGUUGGCCGGUCCGCUUUUUUGCGAGUACUGGAUUCAACCGAGCCUUUCCUUCUGGCUAACCAGUCGUUUCGGCGGCUGGCGAACCAGGAUUUUUACUUUGAGAAAAUUAGAGUGUUCAAAGCAGGCAUUAGCUUGAAUAUAUUAGCAUGGAAUAAUAGAAUAGGACGUUAUGGUUCUAUUUUGUUGGUUUCUAGGACCAUCGUAAUGAUUAAUAGGGACGGUCGGGGGCAUCAGUAUUCAGUUGUCAGAGGUGAAAUUCUUGGAUUUACUGAAGACUAACUACUGCGAAAGCAUUUGCCAAGGACGUUUUCAUUUA
rnacentral:rRNA from 1 species